GGCCCCGUGAGGUAACGGAUAGCCUGCUGGGCUUCGGACCCAGUCGUGUGGGUUCGAAUCCCACCGGGGCCA
rnacentral:tRNA from 1 species